GACGAACGCUGGCGGCGUGCCUAACACAUGCAAGUUGAGCGACGAACCAGGGCUUGCCCUGGGGCAAAGCAGCGAACGGGUGAGUAACACGUGGGUAACCUACCCCGAUAACCGGGACAACCCGAGGAAACUCGGGCUAAUACCGGAUGUGCUCACUGGACUUCGGUUCAGUGCGUAAAGGAAGCUUCGGCCUCCGUAUCGGGAGGGGCCCGCGGCCCAUUAGUUUGUUGGUGAGGUAACGGCUCACCAAGACCGCGAUGGGUAGCUGGUCUGAGAGGACGAUCAGCCACACUGGGACUGAGACACGGCCCAGACUCCUACGGGGGGCAGCAGUGGGGAAUCUUGCGCAAUGCGCGAAAGCGUGACGCAGCAACGCCGCGUGGGGGAAGAAGGCCUUCGGGUUGUAAACCCCUUUCAGGAGGGACGAAGGUUCGGCGGUGAAUAGCCGUCCGGACUGACGGUACCUCCACAAGAAGCCCCGGCUAACUACGUG
rnacentral:rRNA from 1 species